rnacentral:rRNA from 1 species
CUAUGACGUUAGCGGCGGACGGGUGAGUAACACGUGGGCAACCUGCCUGUAAGACUGGGAUAACUUCGGGAAACCGAAGCUAAUACCGGAUAGGAUCUUCUCCUUCAUGGGAGAUGAUUGAAAGAUGGUUUCGGCUAUCACUUACAGAUGGGCCCGCGGUGCAUUAGCUAGUUGGUGAGGUAACGGCUCACCAAGGCAACGAUGCAUAGCCGACCUGAGAGGGUGAUCGGCCACACUGGGACUGAGACACGGCCCACACUCCUACGGGAGGCAGCAGUAGGGAAUCUUCCGCAAUGGACGAAAGUCUGACGGAGCAACGCCGCGUGAGUGAUGAAGGCUUUCGGGUCGUAAAACUCUGUUGUUAGGGAAGAACAAGUACGAGAGUAACUGCUCGUACCUUGACGGUACCUAACCAGAAAGCCACGGCUAACUACGUGCCAGCAGCCGCGGUAAUACGUAGGGGGCAAGCGUUAUCCGGAAUUAUUGGGCGUAAAGCGCGCGCAGGCGGUUUCUUAAGUCUGAUGUGAAAGCCCACGGCUCAACCGUGGAGGGUCAUUGGAAACUGGGGAACUUGAGU